CCUACGGGUGGCAGCAGUGGGGAAUAUUGCACAAUGGGCGAAAGCCUGAUGCAGCAACGCCGCGUGAGCGAUGAAGGCCUUCUGGUCGUAAAGCUCUUUCCUCAAGGAAGAUAAUUACGGUACUUGUGGAUUAAUCCCCGUCUAACUACGUUCCAGCCGCCGCGGUCAUACGUAGGGGGCUAGCGUUAUCCGGAAUUACUGGGCGUAAAGGGUGCGUAGGUGGUUUCUUAAGUCAGAGGUGAAAGGCUACGGCUCAGCCGUAGUAAGCCUUUGAAACUGGGGAACUUGAGUGCAGGAGAGGAGAGUGGAAUUCGUAGUGUAGCGGUGAAAUGCGUAGAUAUGAGGAGGAACACCAGUUGCGAAGGCGGCUCUCUGGACUGUAACUGACACUGAGGCACGAAAGCGUGGGGAGCAAACAGGAUUAGAUACCCGAGUAGUC
rnacentral:rRNA from 1 species